rnacentral:lncRNA from 1 species
AGACCACCGAAGAAAAGGCGGAAACAGACCCCAAAUAGAGCUUAGCGACCGUCUUCCACGGCAAAAGCUGCUAGGAUUCAAGCUUGAUAGAGGAAACCAUGAUAUAGGGACUCCAUGGUUUGCCGGAAGUCGAGACGAGUGAGGGAGGAGUGAGCUGGCAUGGCGAUGAAGGCCAUGAGAGAACCAAAAUUUUCUAGAGAGACGAAGUGUUAGAGAGUGUUUGGGAGUGAAAGGGAAUACGAGGGCGACGGAUUCAGAGAAAUGGUUUAGG